AAACCAUCAGCAUAUAUUUAUUUUAUCAUAAUCAGAGUAGCAAAAUUAUAUAACUGUGCAUCAAACAAUACAUAAAUUCAGAAUACAGCCUUUAUAUAUAACAAUACCCUCAAACUGGUGUAUAGAUGCAAAAGUGUUGAUAUGCAUGUAUCUCCUGGAGUUCACUAUAGUUGGAAUUUUUAUCGUGUCUAUCCAUAUUGACUCCUGGACAUCAUGUAAACUUUACAAAUCAAAAUCCUGAUUUCCUCUCCUUUAUUAAAUGGCCAGCAACGUCAAAAUGUACAAAUGUUUAUUUUUGUCAUCAAUUCCAGAUACAAUUGCAAUUGGACCUCAUGGGUUUUCCAACGGACAAUUCAAUUCCCUUGAUAAUCAACCAAAGAAUUUCAAGCACAUAUCUGCAGUGCAAAACCUAAGCUUGCACUUGGAUUAAGUAACAAUGAUGUACAACGAUUAUUCUCAAGUGAAAUUUAAA
rnacentral:misc_RNA from 1 species